UACAGAGGGUGCGAGCGUUAAUCGGAAUUACUGGGCGUAAAGGGUGUGUAGGUGGAUAGGUAAGUUAGAUGUGAAAUCCCCGGGCUUAACCUGGGAACUGCGUUUAAAACUGCUUGUCUAGAGUAAUGUAGAGGAUAGUGGAAUUUCCAGUGUAGCGGUGAAAUGCGUAGAUAUUGGAAGGAACACCAGUGGCGAAGGCGACUAUCUGGACAGAUACUGACACUGAGACGCGAAAGCGUGGGGAGCAAACAGG
rnacentral:rRNA from 1 species